GCGGGCGUAGCUCAGUGGUAGAGCACAACCUUGCCAAGGUUGGGGUCGAG
rnacentral:tRNA from 1 species